CGAGUGGUCAUGACACUGAGUCAUGUGGGGAGAAGCAAAGAGGAAGGGAGAGAGAGGAGCCAAGUACAGCAGCCAGGAGGCAAAAGGGUGGGUACCAGAGACUGACGAAGGAGUCGGGCACAGACCUGAGGACAGGUAUACUGAAGACCAGCUGAAGCAUCCAGCCUCGUGGACUGACAGUUGGACUCUCAGACGUUAUAUCCGGAGACAGCCAUUGUUGGGCUACCCCGGCCACAGCCUGAAAGUUA